UACGUAGGGGGCUAGCGUUGUCCGGAAUUACUGGGCGUAAAGCGUGCGUAGGCGGUUAUUUAAGUCGGGUGUGAAAGCCCCGGGCUCAACCUGGGAAUUGCAUUCGAGACUGAAUAGCUAGGGUACGGUAGAGGGAAGCGGAAUUUCCGGUGUAGCGGUGAAAUGCGUAGAUAUCGGAAGGAACAUCAGUGGCGAAAGCGGCUUCCUGGACCAGUACCGACGUUCAGGCACGAAAGCGUGGGGAGCAAACAGG
rnacentral:rRNA from 1 species